rnacentral:rRNA from 1 species
GACGAACGCUGGCGGCGUGCCUAAUACAUGCAAGUCGAACGCUUCUUUCCUCCCGAGUGCUUGCACUCAAUUGGAAAGAGGAGUGGCGGACGGGUGAGUAACACGUGGGUAACCUACCCAUCAGAGGGGGAUAACACUUGGAAACAGGUGCUAAUACCGCAUAACAGUUUAUGCCGCAUGGCAUAAGAGUGAAAGGCGCUUUCGGGUGUCGUUGAUGGAUGGACCCGCGGUGCAUUAGCUAGUUGGUGAGGUAACGGCUCACCAAGGCCACGAUGCAAAGCCGACCUGAGAGGGUGAUCGGCCACACUGGGACUGAGACACGGCCCAGACUCCUACGGGAGGCAGCAGUAGGGAAUCUUCGGCAAUGGACGAAAGUCUGACCGAGCAACGCCGCGUGAGUGAAGAAGGUUUUCGGAUCGUAAAACUCUGUUGUUAGAGAAGAACAAGGACGUUAGUAACUGAACGUCCCCUGACGGUAUCUAACCAGAAAGCCACGGCUAACUACGUG